CGUGCCUAUACAUGCAAGUCGAGCGGAUUGAUGGGAGCUUGCUCCCUGAUAUCAGCGGCGGACGGGUGAGUAACACGUGGGUAACCUGCCUGUAAGACUGGGAUAACUCCGGGAAACCGGGGCUAAUACCGGAUAACUCAUUUCCUCGCAUGAGGAAAUGUUGAAAGGUGGCUUUUAGCUACCACUUACAGAUGGACCCGCGGCGCAUUAGCUAGUUGGUGAGGUAACGGCUCACCAAGGCAACGAUGCGUANCCNACCUGANAGGGUGAUCGGCCACACUGGGACUGANACACGGCCCANACUCCUACGGGAGGCAGCAGUAGGGAAUCUUCCGCAAUGGACNAAAGUCUGACGGANCAACGCCGCGUGAGUGAUGAAGGUUUUCGGAUCGUAAAGCUCUGUUGUUAGGGAAAAACAAGUGCCGUUCGAAUAGGGCGGCACCUUGACGGUACCUAACCAGAAAGCCACGGCUAACUACGUGCCAGCAGCCGCGGUAAUAC
rnacentral:rRNA from 1 species